rnacentral:rRNA from 1 species
UAAUACGUAGGGUGCGAGCGUUAAUCGGAAUUACUGGGCGUAAAGCGUGCGCAGGCGGUUUUGUAAGCCAGAUGUGAAAGCCCCGGGCUUAACCUGGGAAUGGCAUUUGGGACUGCAAGGCUUGAGUGCGGCAGAGGAGACUGGAAUUCCUGGUGUAGCAGUGAAAUGCGUAGAUAUCAGGAGGAAUACCGAUGGCGAAGGCAGGUCUCUGGGCUGACACUGACGCUCAUGCACGAAAGCGUGGGGAGCAAACAGGAUUAGAUACCCUGGUAGUCCACGCCCUAAACGAUGUCUACUAGUUGUCGGGUCUUAAUUGACUUGGUAACGCAGCUAACGCGUGAAGUAGACCGCCUGGGGAGUACGGUCGCAAGAUUA